rnacentral:lncRNA from 12 species
AUGCUUGUAGCACAAAGUGUCCUUAGGUUGACUAGGGCUCUCAGGACUGGACGAAGAACAGCUGAUCUUGGCUCUGGGCUACAGGUUGGCUGCAGGUCCACUCUAUAUGGCUCUCCAUUCUCCUUGAAACGGGAGAUACCUAAGGAAUAUUCUUCUCUUGGUGACUGGCAGGAGUGCAAGAGAACCAAACUGAACCAUUCAAGUAGGUGGAAAGCUUUUGUUCUCAUUCAGUCCACUAACAGACCAUUGACCAAAACAAGUCCCAUAGCCAAUGCCAACAUAAUUUUGGAAUGAAGUAUCCUCUGCCAUAAUGGGACUGGAGGAUCACAGUGCCUAGUUAUACAAUAGAGGGUAUGGAUAUAUAAUUCUGAUAUAUAAUCCCUACUGAGGUAGAUAAAUUCUCCUGAUUUUUUGUGAGUUCUUUUUUUAUACCCUUGAAUUCUCUUACCACUGUUAGUUGUUGAAACUUGUAGGUUUCCAAAGGCAGGUAAUUUUAUAGUUUGUAUGUAAUGAAAGUUUAACAUCUGCCCUGUCCUGCUUUUACCUAUUCUUUCUCUCUUUUCCUAUCCUGUUAUCCAGGAUCCACUCUGUUGAACAACAGCAGUGAUAGUAGGCAACCAUGUCAUUCCACAUCUUAGAGGGAAGAGAUAUGUUUUCCUAUUAAAUAUAACAUUUACUGUAGGUUUUUUGUAUGUAAUCUUAUCAAGUUAAGGAAGUCCUUAACUAAGCCCUUAACUACAGAAGCCCUCCAUUCUUAGUUUUCUGAGUUUUAAUCAUAGUUCUUGAAUUUUAGAAAUAUUUUCUAUCCAUUGACAUGAUUUUUCUUACAUGGUUGUUAAUAUAGUGAGUUACAUUGGUAGUAAUUCUGAUGAUCUUCAAUUCCUGUUUGAAAUGUAUUAAUUUUUAAAUACCCUGAAAGAUCCAGUUAACAUUUUAAGGAUUGUUUCAUGUAUUUUUAAAUUAAGUAUAAUUGAUACACAAUGUUACAUCAGCUUCAGGUGUACAACUUAAUGAUUUGACAAGUCGAUAUGUUAUACAUAGAUACCAUCUGUCUCAUUACAUUGCUGUUAGAAUAUCAUUGACUGUAUUCCUUAUGCUCUUUCUAUUCCCAUGACUUAUUCCAUAACUAGAAGCCUGUAUCUCCCUCUCCCCAUCUCCCAUUUUGCCCAGAUCCCCAAGCCCUUUCUCUCUGGUAACCAUCUGUUCUCUGGUUCUCAUUUUGGUUCUUUUUUUUUUUUUUUCAUUUCCUUUAUUUCACUUAGCAUAAUACUCUAUAGGUCCAUCCAUAUUGUCUCAAAUGGCAUGGUUUCAAUUUUUAUGGCUGUGUAAUAUUCUACUCUGUGUGUGUGUUUGGGGGUUCUGUGUCUAUGCCACAUUUUCUUUAUCCAUUUGUCUAUUGAUGGACACUUAGGUUGCUUCUGCAUAAAAUAAUACUGCAAUAAACAUGGGGGUGCAUAUAUCUUUUUGAAUUAA